GCCAACUUGCCCGAGUGGUUUAAGGGGGUGGACUUAAGAUCCACUGGGCGAAAGUCCGCGUGAGUUCGAACCUCACAGUUGGCA
rfam:Stylonychia lemnae strain 130c genome assembly, contig: Contig2406